rnacentral:rRNA from 1 species
AAGCCCACUCUAGCCCAACCACCCACAACACACCAACUCACCUCUCCCAAAAAAUUAAAGCAUUCAAUUCACAAACCUAGUAUAGGCGAUAGAAAGGCAUCCAAAUGGAGCUAUAGAGACCACGUACCGUAAGGGAACUAUGAAAUAGCAAUGAUAAACCAAGCAUUAACAAGCAAAGAUCAACCCUUGUACCUUUUGCAUCAUGAUUUAGCAAGAACUCACCAAGCAAAAUGCUAGUUUAAGCUUGCCACCCCGAAACCUAAGCGAGCUACCUACGAGCAGCUAUUUCCUGAGCGAACCCGUCUCUGUUGCAAAAGAGUGGGAUGACUCGUUAGUAGAGGUGAAAAGCCAACCGAGCUAGGUGAUAGCUGGUUGCCUAUGAAACGAAUCUUAGUUCACCCUUGACUCUCCCUAAAGGAUAAACUAACCCCUCACGUAAUGAAUCAAGGGCUAUUUAAAGGGGGUACAGCCCCUUUAAAAAAGAGCUCACUCUCCUCAAGCGGAUAAGUUUUUCCCAUCACACCCCCUGUGGGCCUUCAAGCAGCCAUCACCUAAGAAUGCGUCAAAGCUCGACGGUCAAAAAAAUUCAAAAAUUACACGACUCCCUCCCCAAUAAUAGGCCAACUUAUACCUAUAAGAGAAUUUAUGCUAAAAUGAGUAACUAGGGUUCCCCUCUAUGGCGCAAGCUUACAUCACCACAUUAUUAACAGACCACAAAAUAUACACUAACCCCGACAAGAUCAAAUAUCACAUCACCUGUUAACCCACCCAUGGAGCGCCCAAAAAGAAUGAUUAAAAUCUGUAAAAGGAAUUAGGCAAAUACAAGGCCCGACUGUUUACCAAAAACAUAGCCUUCAGCCGACCAAGUAUUGAAGGUGAAGCCUGCCCAGUGACAACACGUUUAACGGCCGCGGUAUCCUAACCGUGCGAAGGUAGCGCAAUCAAUUGUCCCAUAAAUCGGGACCUGUAUGAAUGGCUAAACGAGGUCUUAACUGUCUCUUACAGAUAAUCAGUGAAAUUGAUCUCCCUGUGCAAAAGCAGGGAUACCUCCAUAAGACAAGAAGACCCUGUGGAACUUCAAAAUCAGCAUCCACUCCCACACACCUCCUCCCCUAUAAGGCACACUCCACUGGGACUCAGCUGGAUUGCAUUUUUUGGUUGGGGCGACCUUGGAGAAAAACCAAUCCUCCAAACACUAGACCACUACCCUUGACCUAGAACAACCCCUCAACGUGCUAAUAGUAACCAGACCCAAUAAAUUUGACCAAUGGACCAAGCUACCCCAGGGAUAACAGCGCAAUCUCCCUUAAGAGCCCCAAUCGACAGGGAGGUUUACGACCUCGAUGUUGGAUCAGGACAUCCUAGUGGUGCAGCCGCUACCAAGGGUUCGUUUGUUCAACGAUUAACAGUCCUACGUGAUCUGAGUUCAGACCGGAGUAAUCCAGGUCGGUUUCUAUCUAUGAUAUACUCCUCCCAGUACGAAAGGACAGAAGGAGUAAGGCCCAUGCUUCCAACACGCCUUAGCCCAAAGAAAUGAACCCAACUAAAUUUCCAAGGGCACUACCACCACUACCCUCCUAGAAAAGGACCG